rnacentral:rRNA from 1 species
UGAGGAAUAUUGGACAAUGGGGGCAACCCUGAUCCAGCCAUGCCGCGUGCAGGAAGACUGCCCUAUGGGUUGUAAACUGCUUUUAUAGAGGAAGAAUGCCCACUACGUGUAGUGGUUUGACGGUACUCUACGAAUAAGGAUCGGCUAACUCCGUGCCAGCAGCCGCGGUAAUACGGAGGAUCCAAGCGUUAUCCGGAAUCAUUGGGUUUAAAGGGUCCGUAGGCGGAUCAGUAAGUCAGUGGUGAAAGUUUGCGGCUCAACCGUAAAAUUGCCAUUGAUACUGCUGGUCUUGAAUCAUUGUGAAGUGGUUAGAAUAAGUAGUGUAGCGGUGAAAUGCAUAGAUAUUACUUAGAAUACCGAUUGCGAAGGCAGAUCACUAACAAUUGAUUGACGCUAAGGGACGAAAGCGUGGGUAGCGAACAGGAUUAGAUACCCCCGUAGUCC